AGAAUUAAGUCAUAUGAAACGUGUGUGUUUCAUAUGAGUAAGUUAGCUGUCGCUUAGCUUGGCACAAAGACCAACCGCUCUGAUCGAUUUUUCAAAAGAGGUGUAAUGAUGUGAAAGCCCAGUUUGCAAUUUAAUCUUCAAUUUUAGUUUGUCGGCCAUUUUUAAAAUGAGAAAUUCAUUUCACUAUUAAUUGUUGAUUUAAAAACACAAAGUAUAUUCUUUUAAUGGAGUUCUCAGUUUAAAUUUGGCAGUCGUGCCAAAAAAAACAUAAAUCGACCUACAUUUUUUGACAUAUCAUAUGCACACAAAUGGCAAAUGAAAUUUCAGUUUGAUUUAUUUUAAUAGUGACAGCCCUGGACUUCCAUAUUUUUGUGCCGACAUCUUUUGAAUUCUGAGGCAUCAGUGUUUGGUUCUUUAAAAACAUUACGACCCAAACGAAAGCCAAUAUCAGCUCAAUAAAACCGGUCAAAUCCCAGUCCAGACUUGAUGGAACAUUAUCGAUCCAAUCCAAAGGUGUGUGUGUGACGUAAAAUGGUUCUUUUUUCUAACCGCAAACUAUUGUCUUAGUAUUUUUGCGCUUUAGAGGGUUUCCCUUCUGCAUCUUAUCUGCACAGACGCACACGAGUGUGAACAGGGUUCUUAGAGAAGAGUGAAGACUGGAAUGAUGCCUACUGAGCAUCUUUUUAUGAAAUCAUCUAGAGAGAGAGAGAGAGAGAG